CUUAGUGAUGAUACUGCCGAUUCUGGCAUACCAAAAAGUGACUAGCAUUAUAAAUGCGAUGUUGUUAACUUAAAUUACACCAUCUUUCGGGGCUGAUU
rfam:Saccharomyces kudriavzevii IFO 1802 unplaced genomic scaffold c2057, whole genome shotgun sequence.